rnacentral:lncRNA from 1 species
GUGGACAUGAGCCCCAGAACCCAGGUGCCCUGAGCAUCUCCUCUGUCCUGGAUGAGCCUGGGCACACUGCGUCCUCUGCACAUGUUCUCAGCGCCAGCCUUUGCCACCUCUCCUGGGCCGAGCCUGUGUUACGUGCUGCAGAAUGGCGUCAGAACAGUCCGCAGUCCAGUGUGCCGGACCACGGGAGUCUGCUGGAAGAGAUGCCACCGGACACAGACUGCAACAUCAAGAGAGCCCAAGCCCACGAGGAUGCCGUUCUGGAACACCUCGAGCCCCAUGUGCCCUGGAAAGCAAGAUUCACGCUGGAAGCUCACCAUGGCUUUUGAAGACUGAAGCUGAGGACCCUUCCUCCUCCUGGGAGGUGGUGGGAAAGAGCACUGUUCUGGGAGUCAGUUCAGCUAUCUGUCAGCCCUUCUGUCAACCCCAGCAUUGCCCAGCCUGCAUC